AAUAUAUUGAUUUUAUAUUCUAUAAGUUCAAUUAUUCCUGAAAAUUUUUGGUGGAGUCUGAGGCUUCCUGAAUACAGUCAUGUACCACAUAGCGACAAUUCAGCCAAUGAGUGACCACACCCAUGAUGGUGGUCCCGAAGAUUAGAAUGGAGCUGAAAAGUUCCUGUUGCCUAGUGAUGUAAUCGCUGUCACCAUGUCAUCAUGUGACACAUUACUGGUGUUUGUGGUGAUGCUGAUGUGAAUAAACCUACUGCUCUGCAGUUCUCUCCAGUAUAGCAAUACAAUUAUAGAAGUAGGCUGUGCCCCUGAGGUUCUCAGCUUUUCACCAUGAACAUGAUGUUUGUUUCCUUACAUCGCUCUAUACCCACUUUGCUGAGAAUUAUUACAAGUUGUAUUUUGUCAAGUGAUUGUUCUGCAUGUAUUCAGGUGAUUGUACUAUUUUAAUAUUUUACUUUGUUCCCAUGGUGUGUCACACUGAUUGAUAUAUAGAUGUCAAAUUACCUGUGACCCAUCCCUGGAAUGAGUUUCACUUGAUUAUGGUGUAUGAACCCUUUAAUGGAUUGUUGAAUUGGUUUACUAGCAUUUCAUUAAGGUUUUUGCAUUGAUGUUGAUUAGGGAUAUGGGCCUGUAAUUUUCUUCCCUUGUGGUGUCCUCAUCUGGAUUUUGUAUCGGUAUAAGGCUGGACUUACUGAUGAAUUCGGGAGUAUUCUGUUGUCUUCUAUUUUUGAAAGAAUGUGAGAUGGAUUGGUUUGAAUUCUUGAUGAAUUUUUGUGAAGAAUUUAGCAGUGAAAGUCUGUGCAGAGACAUUUCUUCGAGGAGUGGUUUUUGAUUUCUGCUUCCAUCUCCCUUGUGUAGUAAUCAAUCCAUUCCGAUUUUGUAUUUUUUCAUUUUUCAGCCUUGGUAGGUCCUCUGUAGGAAUUUACCUGUUCAUUCUAGACUGUCAUAUUUGUUAGCGUGUAAUUGUUCUUAGUAUAGUCUGCACCUCAAAGUGAUCUUGCAGUGCAUAAGGGACCACAUUCACAAGGGUGGUGCCAUAAGAUUACAGUAGAGCUGAAAAGUUCCUAUUGCCUUCUGACCUAGUAGCCAUCCUAAGGUUGUAGCACAACACAUCACUGUUUCAAAAGUGGUCUUUCAGCUUUCGUUGCCCUGGGAAACUUUUUGUCUCUCUUCUAAUUCUGAACACUUACUUUGCAGGGUAGAGUGGUAUUGGUUAGCAGCUUCUCUUUCAGCACUUGGAAUGUAUCGGCCCACUGCCUGCUCUCCUGCAAUGCUUCCGCUGGAAAACCUGCUGCUGGUCUUAACAAGUUGCUUUUUCUUGCUGCUUUUCAAAUUUCUCUUCUAAUCUUUGACAUUUGACUACUCCAUUACAUCAGUACUAUGUCUUUGUGUCGGUCUCUUUGGAUUCCUCUUCUUCGGUAUCCUUUGGCAUUCCUGGAUGUUGAAUGCCUUAUUAUGGAAGUUUGUAGCCAUCAUGUAUAUAAAUAAUCCUUGUGAAUAAGUUAUAAAUAAAGACUAAGUAGUUUCUCUAUCUUCUCCUUCUUGGGCCUCUGUGAUGUGUACUUUGGUCCGUCUGAUGUUGUGUCGUGAAUUCCUUAAGCUUCACUUUGCAAUCUCUUUUUCUUUUGGCUGCUGUGAUGAAUUUCACUACCCUGUUUUUGCCAGUCCUUUCUUCUGCUUUCCCUACUCUGCUGCUGAACCCCUCUAUGGAGUGUUGCCAUUCAGUUUCUGUGUGCUGUAGCUCUGUGAUUUGUUUUUGGCAAUGAGAAGUUCAACCUCUCUUUUCUUUAAAGAAAUUAUUGUUAAGAGAGAGUAGGAGGGAGGGAAAAAGAGAAGUAUGGAUGUGAGAGAGAAACAUUGAUCAAUGGCAUCAACCUGGCCUACAACCCAGGCAUAUGCCCCAUCGGGGAGUUGGCGACCUUGCAGGUUUGCGGGACAGGGCUCAACCUGCCGAGCCCCACUGGCUGGGGAAGGCAGCAACUUUUAAAGUUAGCAGAUCAAGUUCUUGUUGGGAUAGACUUGAGGUGGCUGUUGUGGGUGCCCCUCUGCGCUGAUCCCCGGGAUGACAGUCUUGGUGACUACUUGGAUUGCUUGUUUGAAAUGCUUGCUUUGUUUUCUGUACUGUUGGGAGGCAGGUGGGCACAGCUUCAGUGGCUUGUAAGGCCUGGGGUUUUGCAAACCUAGCUCUAUGGUCAUUAUCCUAAAAGUUGGGGUGCUUGGUCGGCAUUCAGGUCCUUCACUUCUCAGGUAGAAGGUGGAAGUUAGGUUCCCUCCUGAGUGUGUGAUUCUGAGCUGAGGGUGGGAUAUAUGGUAAGCGUGUGUCUCAGCCUUUAUUUAACUUGUUUUGAUAAAUAUUUUGAUAGUUUUUUCAAUAUCUUCUAGAGAGAGGGCAAGGGAGGUAGACAGGGAGAGAGACAUUGGUUGAUAAGCUGCCUUUUGCUCUGAUGGGACUGAACCCACAACCGAGGCAUGUGCCUAGACCGGGAAUUGAGCUGGUGACAUUUGGCUUCGUGAGACAGUGCCCAACCCACUGAGCCAUACUGGUCAGGGCUUGAUAAACAUUUUUUAAAAUACAUAGCAAUUUUCUCAUUAGUCUGAUGUGUAGGAUUCACUCAGCUGAGGUCUGCAUCUCUUCCGGAGGAAACUGCUCCCUGAGUAGGUGGUGUAAAUCAACUUUUGAAUUUUUCUUGGCUUUGAAAAUUUUUACCUUUGGAAGCAUUUUCUACAGUGAUAUCUUCAGCAAUAUUUUAAUCUCCUGAGUUUUCUUGGUCUUGGGUAAAAUGUACCACUUCAAUGGCAGUCAGAUGAGUCCUUUCUGUCAUAUCUCUGGGGUGGGGAACCGUUACUCUGAGUUUGCAUUUCAGUCUGGUGUUGACUGGACUAUUUCAUGUCAGAAUUGCUUCCCUUUGAGAAAGAACUGAGUUAAGAACUUGGCAUUGUGGCAACUAAGAGGAAUGUUAAUUUGCUACACAAACUUCAUUAGCUACACAGAUGUAGAAGUCCAUUGAUUUCUUAAAGAUAUACUGCAUGGACUUCUAAUUUUUACUAUUUCAUACUUUUUAUCUAUUGAAUGGUUUUAAAUCUUGGAAAACUUGGUUUUUGGCCUAGUAUAUGAUUUGUCUUGGUAACUGUAUCAUAGGCACUUAAAAUUUAGGUCCAUUUAUUCUAUAGUGUUUGGGUAUAGUGUUUAAGUGCUCAUUAGGUUGAGAUGGUUGAUAGUGUGGUUUGUAACUUCUAAAGUGUCUCUUCUAUAAAUUACUGAAAUAAUAGAAUUUAAAAUCACCCACCUAUGAUUGUAGAUUUGUCUCCUACUCCCUUUAUUGUGUCAGAUCCAUUUAAUAUCACCUAACUAUUCGUGAUUGUUACGUCUUUCUUCUAACUGGACCCUGUUCCAUUACGAAAUGUCUUCAUCUCUGAUACUCAGCUGUCUUGAACUUCAUCUGAAAUUGAUACAUUCACUCUAGCCUCCCUGUACUUGUGUGUGUAUGGGGUGUGGUCAGAUCAUUUUUUCCUUUCAUCCUAUAUCUUUUUGUAUAAAGUCUUUCAGACAGCGUAUACUUGGGAUAUGUUUUAACCUUUAAGAGUUGGUGUGUUUAUUCAAUUUAUGUUUAACACAAUUAUCGAAAAAUUGGAUUUAAGUGUUUUAUUUUUUAUGUUGUUUUCUUGUGUCAUCCCUUCCAGUGUCUUUAUGUUUUUCAUUUUGGUUUUGUUUUUGUGUUGUUUGCUUGUUUCUUUUUUUUCUUUUCUGCCUUCCAUUUCGUAAUAUGACUUGUUUUAGAGUUUUUAUUUUUAUCUUUAUAACUACCUCCUAGCAUUUUAGUGGGUGUUCCAUUGAUUACAAUACUUAUAUUUAGUUUGUUUUAAGACUGUUACAUCAGUUAACAUAAGAAUGUUUUAGCUGUAUUUACCCAUUUCCCCAGUCUGCCCCAUUUCAUGGUAGAAUUGCCAUGUACGGGGCAGGGCAGAAGUAGGUGCAUAGUUGUGGGUGUGAGAAACAGUUGUUAAAGUUACUGCAAUAAUCAUAACUGUGUUUUUCCACAUGAAUGACUGUAAACCUACUUGUGCCCCAUCCUGUGUAUCAUAUCUAUGUAUACUCUAUGUAGGUCAAUGGUGUAAUUGCUUUAAGUACCUAUUGUAAAGAAUUUAAAAUGAAAAAGUAUUUCACAUGUACUUAAAUAUUAAUGAGUUUCAUUGCUAUUCAUCCUACUGUGAAGAUACAUGUUUCUUCUUCUUUCCGUUCAUCAUUUGUCUUUCUGGGGGGCUUUUCUCAGCACCAGGAUGACUAGUGAUAAUUUUUCUUAGUUUCUCUUAAUCUGAUAGUCUUUUGUCCAGCCCAUUUUAUUGAGGGGUGUUGUUCCUGAACACAGCAUUGUAGUUUGCCAUCUUCCCCACUUGUACUUCAAAGAUAAUGUCCCAUGGUUCCCUGGUCUUUAUUGGAUGUAACCAUUUAUUUCUUCCAUCAAUGGGCAUAUAAAAUAGUGGAAACAUAAGUUUUGGUUAGCUGGACAGGUUUUGAUAGAGGCUUUAACAGUAGUUAUGGAGAAGUCCGAAGGCAUGUUGUACGUCGUGUUCUCUGUGACUGUUGCAGAGUUGUGAUAAAAUGAGCUCCUUUGACAGGGAAUUGUUUGGGUUCUUGCCUCACCCUGAGAGUCAUACAGAAACAACCAUCACAUAUUUUUAAGUGGCUAGCGUAGCUGUUACGUCCUUUAUAGUACAGGAAUAAAUUUAGAGAGGAAAUGGUGCAAAGAGAAGACAGUGUAAAAAUGUUGGUGUGAGUUUAUGAUAAUGAUAUUAUUUCAGUUAUUCAAUUGACAACGCUACCAUUAUUGUUGAAGCAUGAAAAUGGGGAAUUUUAGGUAAACGUGCUGUGCUGUGGACAUUUCCCAUGAUUCACACAGAAUUGACCCAGCUCUUGAAAUACCAUGUUUUUAUUUUUUUUAAGACAACGUAAUCUUUAGUGAAGACCUCUGAAUUUUGGUGAGAUGCAUUUAGUCUUCUACAAUUGUAUGUGUGGUUUGAAAGGUGUGUCUUUUCCACCGUGACGUGAGUUCCGCAUGUGGCAGUAUCUUUAAUGUACACCAUCACAAAGACAUCUGCCGUCCUGUAACCUUAGAAACUUAGAAUCAGUCUUCCAAUGUACGUGUCAGAUAUUUGUGUCAGUGGAGACAGAAGCACUCAGUCCUGAGAAACUUACUCUUCUCUUUCAUCUUGUCAGUUUGCCUUUCAUAAUCUGUGAAUGUCUGCCUGUCCACCAUCUAUUUAUCCAUCAUUCAUCGUAUUACCCGUUUGUCUAUUCAUCGCUUCUGCCAUUAGAGACAUGAGUCAAGGGAGGAUGGCAGUGGCAGACCAAAGGAGUCACCCUACAGGGGUGGCAGUGGUCUCUGAGGUCAUGGUGGAUAGGAGGAGGAAGAAAGGAGAAAAGGGAGAGUGAGGACUGAGGGACUGCCCCCCACCGCGAACUCUGCUGUUAUUACUAUAUUUGAAUUGAAAUGACCAAAAUAGAUCUGCCUCCAUUUUAUGUCAGCCUCAUGUGAGAAAAUUGAGAUUAAAUGGGAGGACACUGUGCUUUGAGUCCUGCUGGAUUCCACAUUUAAAACUCAUUUUUCCUGACAUGUAAUUAUAUCUCCACAGUCUGUUAAACCAGCCCACGAAUUGGCAGGUCUUUUGGGUAAAGGGCCAGAUGGCAAGCAGGUCCCGUCUUUCAGACUUUGUGGUCUGUGUUGCAGUUAGUGUGCUCUGCUGUUACUGCGAGAGAGCCGCCAAACUCAGUGUGUAUUGGGAUGCCUCUGGUGUGUGUGUUUCAAUAAAACUUUAUUUAUAACACAGGUUACAGGUGCGAGUCUACCGGUCCUUGAAUUGUAGAGCACUGGUUGAAACCAAAAUUAACUCAGCCACAUGGUAAAAAUAUCUGAGUAUCAUAUCCCCAUAUCAUUUUUAUGAAGAGUCAUUAUAGUUCCUUACUUUCAUAAGAGAAUGCUACGAAUGAGUACUAGUGGCCAGUGUAACCUAUACCAUGUAAAACCGCACUGUGUAAAGGAUUGGAGUGAUAUGAGCCCUCUCCACGUAUAGAUGGAAACAUUCCUGACACCUUCUACAUGUAAGGUCCCUGAGUUAGUGUCCCAAAUCCUGCUGGCCUCCUUUUCCCCUUGGGUACAGUUUGAAACAAAAGGUUCUCUCUCUCCUCUCCUUGGGCACUGAGUUGGGUCUGUUUUGAGUUCAUCUGAGCCGUUGAAAUUGUUUCAGCAUCUCAGAAUAGGAUUGGUUUAUUUCAAGGAUGUAAUUGAACCUCGUUUAUCAAAAUUUAACAGCCAGCAAUUCAGGUGUGGGCAAAAGUUAAGUUCGUUGUUGUAAGUACACAAAACAGUGCAUUUAUUCUUGCAUUGUUAUUUAUGGAUUAUUGUAGUCUUUUCCACACGAAGAACUAUAAACCUACUUUUACCCUUAUAUAUGAGUGAAGCCAGUGGAGAUGAUCUUUAAUCCAAGUAAACAGUGAUUUCCACGUUUGGUAUUGUUUGUCCAUUAGCUGCAUUGGAGUGUUUAGAGGAGAGAAAGAGAAUUUACAACCUGCCAACUGAAAAUGAAAUUGGGGCUACUUUGUAUUUUAUAGUCAAUUACAAAUUGUGUGUGUAUGGUUCCUUGAAACUCACAUGAAAAUUUUCGUGUUAAUAGUCUGUGAAAGGCUAACUCAAAUUAAUUAGAAAAAUACAAACAUCCCCGUCUAAAAACAGGAAAGCCUAUACAUACGAAUUCAUAACAGGAGAGUAUGAUACAUGGCCAAGAGCAUAUGGAAUAAUUACAAAUAUAAAUUAAAUGUGUGUGCAAUUGCACACACAGCAAAACAAAACAAUUGGUUACCUUUUUCACCUAUCAGAUUAAGAGAUACAACAUGUGGAGAAUUUUGGACUCCUGAUACAUUAAAAAUCAUUCCAGGAGACAGUGGAAGAGAUAUGUUAGAUGAAAAUCAGCACAUUUUGACUAACAAUUUUAGUUUUAGAAAUUUACCUAGAGGAUAUAAUUCGUAGUGUUUAAAGAUGUAUGUAAACCUAAGAGUCCUUGUUGCAGCCUUAGUUAUACUUGUAAAAUUAGAAGUAACCUGUUUAUCAAUUUAUAAUGCCUGGGUUAUUAGUGAUCCAUGUAGCAAAUUGGGUUGUAUUUAAUUAUAUAUAGUAAUGUGUGUUCAAAAUAACUGUUAUGAUCUAGGUUUUUCAAAAGUUCAUUUUUUCUCCAGUUACUGAAUUACUAACUCUGUUUUAGGCAUUAAUAUUGUAUUUCUUUCAUGUGAAAUGAUAUAUGCUUGUGUUUUUUUGGACAUGGUCAAUAAACUAAUUUUAUGGGAGGAAUAUU